GCGCAACUGCCACGACCUCCACUUCCGGCAGCGCGCUCGGAGUGAUGAGGGGGCGUGCGCAUGCACGAGCUACAAACAUGCGUUUGUUUUUUUCUGUUCCGGAGUAUUCUGUCACGUCGCGAGACGUAAGGGAGUAGAGUACGGAAGCAGGAACAGGGUGUAGGGGCAGCUAUGGUACUGAAGGUGGCACCAUAUCACAGGUUGAGCUCUUCAGAUUUUAUGCACAUGCGUGUCUGUUCCUAUGGACUCUGUGUGUAGAUCACCUACCUCUCUCAUACACAGACACACAAUCACACUGUCUCCUCUCUUCCUUGGACUCUUGUUUGAUUUUUCUAUGCAUAGCUUAUGCAAGACUGCAUUGCCAGCAGUUAAGGUACAACAGGCUGCAUUUUGCUCUGCUUUCCUCUUCCCUCUGCAUCCCACCCUCCUCUCUCAUCUCUUUCUGCCGCUCACGGCUGGAGGAUGGCGGUGGUCUGGGUGAACACUAAGAAGGGGGUUGUGCAAGAGCUACUGCGUAGACUGAGCUAUAUCAGUCAUAACAUUGGUAUUCAUCCAGCGUUCUGUUCAUGAAUUCAAGGGCUAAGAUAAUGUUUAAAAAUUUGACAGAGAAACAUACAUGUAUACUGCAUUUGUUAUACCAUGACAUACAGUAUUUAAAUAAUUUUUAAAAUAAAUAAAAUUUUAAAAUAAAACAUUCCUGGAAAAAAGGACAAACCCUUGAAUUUAUUCCAUUUCCCUAGUGUUGUGUGUUUUGUGGCCAGAGACAAUUGAUGUUCACU